ensembl:snRNA U4 U4 spliceosomal RNA
AGCUUUGUUCAGUGGCAGUAUCAUAGCCAAAGAGGUUUAUCUGAGGUGUGAUUGUUGUUAAUUGAAAAAUAUCCCCUAGAGGUGGCUUCAGAUAUAUAUUUUAAACAACAAAUUUUUUCAAAUAAAAUAAUGCCAAUUUG